CCCUUAGAUGUUCUGGGCCGCACGCGCGCUACACUGAUUCAUUCAUCAAGUCUAUAACCUUGGUAGAAAUGCUUGGGUAAUCUUUGAAACUGAAUCGUGCUGGGGAUUGGAGCUUGUAAUUAUUCUCCAUGAACGAGGAAUUCCUAGUAAACGCGAGUCAUCAGCUCGCAUUGAUUACGUCCCUGCCCUUUGUACACACCGCCCGUCGCACCUACCGAUUGAAUGGUCCGGUGAAAUCUUCGGACCGGGCGAUGGUCAGCAAUGGCCGCUGCCUGGAAAGUCGCUUAGACCUUACCAUUUAGAGGAAGGUGAAGUCGUAACA
rnacentral:rRNA from 1 species